CUGGUGUAGCGGUGGAAUGCGCAGAUAUCAGGAGGAACACCGAUGGCGAAGGCAGAUCUCUGGGCCGUAACUGACGCUGAGGAGCGAAAGCGUGGGGAGCAAACAGGCUUAGAUACCCUGGUAGUCCACGCCGUAAACGGUGGGCACUAGGUGUGGGGGACUUUCCAUGUUCUCCGUGCCGUAGCUAACGCAUUAAGUGCCCCGCCUGGGGAGUACGGCCGCAAGGCUAAAACUCAAAGGAAUUGACGGGGGCCCGCACAAGCGGUGGAGUAUGUGGUUUAAUUCGACGCAACGCGAAGAACCUUACCCGGUCUUGACAUCCUGGGAACUCGCUAGAGAUAGCUUGGUGCCGCAAGGAGCCCAGAGACAGGUGCUGCAUGGCUGUCGUCAGCUCGUGUCGUGAGAUGUUGGGUUAAGUCCCGCAACGAGCGCAACCCUUGUCCUAUGUUGCCAGCGGGUAAAGCCGGGGACUCGUAGGAGACUGCCGGGGUCAACUCGGAGGAAGGUGGGGACGACGUCAAGUCAUCAUGCCCCUUAUGUCCAGGGCUGCAAACAUGCUACAAUGGCCGGUACAAAGGGCAGCUAAACCGCGAGGUCAAGCGAAUCCCAAAAAGCCGGUCUCAGUUCGGAUUGAAGUCUGCAACUCGACUUCAUGAAGCUGGAGUCGCUAGUAAUCCCGGAUCAGCAACGCCGGGGUGAAUACGUUCCCGGGCCUUGUACACACCGCCCGUCACACGCCGAAAGUCGAUAACACCCGAAGUCAGUGGCCCAACCCUUUAGGGAGGGAGCUGCCGAAGGUGGGAUUGGCGAUUGGGGUGAAGUCGUAACAAGGUAGCCGUACCGGAAGGUGCGGCUG
rnacentral:rRNA from 1 species